rnacentral:rRNA from 1 species
GACGAACGCUGGCGGCGUGCUUAACACAUGCAAGUCGAACGGAAAGGCCAUGCUUGCGGGGUACUCGAGUGGCGAACGGGCGAGUAAGAAGCGGGUGGUCAGCCCAGCACUACGGGAUAAGCCUGGGAAACAGGGCGUAACACCGGCCAGGGGAUAUAUUUAGCGGGAUGGUUGGAAAGUUUUUUCGGUGUUGGCUGAGCUCGCGGCCUAUCAGCUUGCUGGUGGGGUAAUGGCCUACCGAGGCGGCGUCGGGUAGCCGGCCUGUGGGGGUGGACGGCCACCUUGGGACUGAGAGACGGCCCAGGCACCUACGGGAGGCAGCAGUGCGGAAUAUUGCACGAUGGGCGCCAGGCUGAUGCAGCGGCGCCGCGUGGGGGAUGACGGCCUUCGGGUUGUAAACUCCUUUCGCUAGGGACGAAGCUUUUUGUGACGGUACCUAGAUAAGAAGCACCGGCUAACUACGUG